UUGGCAGUUGUUAGUGAAUAGCAAGAAUGAAAUACAAUAUAAGACUUAUUGGAGGAGAUUAAAAGAUUAUAAGUUUAAACACAGGUUGCAAUCCUGUAUAAAUGAGCUAUGAAAAUUUUAAUUAUUACAAACUAUUUUAACUAUCAUUAAAUAAUGGAUAACAACAAAAAUACAUAUGUAUUUAAUUAAUUAAUUUUGCAACAUAUUUCCUUAAAAAGCAACAUCAGGUAAAAAAAUAUGAAAAAUGAACUGUGACUAAGAAGCUGUUUUUCUAAUUAAUUGCUGUAGUUCCCAAUAAAAACACAAACUUGGAGUAGAAAAUUUAUUUCAAUUUUGUAAGAAUAAGCUGAGGAUAAUUUGGCGGAAUCGGGUGAGGAUGCUAGGCUGAAGAGAAGAUAUUGUCUCAAGCUCACGUGCGUGUUCCCAAUAAAUUCGCUCUUCUCCACUACAUCCGGAGCUCUUCUCCUAGUAGUGUUUGCUCUUCUCCACUACAUCCGGAGCUCUUCUCCUAGUAGUGUGUUCUGGCUUAACUAAUCUCUCAAUCACAUCCGGAGCACCUCUCCUGUGAUUCCAUUUCCUCUAUCAUACCUCACAAGAACCUACUCUUUAUGAGCUCUAGCUUCUUUUGCAUUUCACACCUGUUAUUAACCUCUUGGUGCACCACCUCUGACUGUCAGCGCCGCAUGCCCCUGCUGUUAUUUCCCCAGUCAUCUGUCCUGCUCGCGUGGUGCACCGUCGUUCAUCUCCUCGCACCUGUACUGAAUUCACCAUACUCUUCCAGGGGUACACGCACAUCUCUACACUUUGUGGCUGCCCAGGGCAGCCCAGCACCCCCAAAUUCCCCAAAUGAAAAUUCAUUAUCUAUGAGGCAAUAUUUUUGACGAGAACUACGACGAGAUCAUUCAACGCCAUAACAGGCUUAACAAAUAGACAUGAAAAGAAAACUACAUGCAAGUGCCUAUAAAUUAGCCUUUUACAAUUCGGGUAAUAAAAUCCCCAUUGAUAAAACGAACAAUGGGCCACCCUUAGCCCCCCGAAAUAACAGGUAAUUUCUUAAAGCUUUUACUGACCAAAAUUUGUGUUCAAUCAUAGCAAAACGAAUUGUGACACCUUUCCUAAAUGGAGCUGUUUUGGAUGCCUUGAUGUUAAAUGUAAAUAGCAGUUCUGAAAAUAGAACCCUGACCUUAUUUAUUAAUCACUCUAGGGCAAAUGUAUAAUGGCUAAUAUGGAAGAUUUCUUCAUAAAAAAUAUCAGAAACUUUUUUCAUGUGGAUUACUUUUACAUUAACAAAAUUAAAAAUUUGAAGAUAAACUUUUGGAUUUUGUCAUUCAUUAGUUUUCAACUUUCUUCCUGGAAAUUUUUAAGGUUUAAAACCCAUGUCCCACAGUAACUUUUUCAUCCUUAUCCUAAUGUUAAUACAUAAUCUAUGCAACAGCUUUUGUAGUAAAAUUAAAACACAUAAAAACGAAAAGCGGCAAUAAAACGAAUAGCGGCGAUAGAAAUGCUUUUAUAGAUCGUAUUUUAAAAGUUUAAAAUCGAAAAGAGGCGAUAGAAAUGUGUUUUUAGAUCGCAUUUUAAAAGUUUAUAAACGAAAAGCGGCAUUUAAUAGUUGUGAACCAUGCUUCUCGAAUGUUUCUUAGAUUAAACGCGCUGGAAAUUUUUUUUUUUUUUUUUUUUAAGUAAUUGAAUCAACAAUACAUUCUCGCGCAAUGUAUUAUAAAACUUCGCGAAAGAUUUUUAUUAUAUAAUUACUUCACGCUAAUACUUAAGGGAAUAGCUUAUCAAUACAUUUACACAAUGCAUCUCGCCAUAAAAAAAAAAUAGAAUUGCUCCGACAUCUCUUCGCGAGCGCAUUGUUUUUUAACACGCAAAUAUAAUCUCGCAAAACGCUCAAGGGAUUUAAUUAUAACAAAAGACAAACGACUGCCGUCCUCCACGCAAAGGUGUGAUAUUAGGAUGUACGCGGUAGAUUACAUUCAGACUGUACUGUACUGAAUCACUCUACAAUGACACGUAUUUAAAUGCCUAAUAUAAAGGAAAUACAUAAAAUCGGAAGCCUAACCGUAUUUAUACGCCCAACCAUUCUAAAUUAAGGGCACUGACAAAAGCAUUUCCAGAUUUCCAAAUUGCACAAAAGAUAUAGCCUGAUCGAACAAUUUUGGGUAUCAUUCAAAAUACGGCUAUGUGAAAUGUUUAUAAAAUUGAUCCUAAAGACUGGACACAUAUUGCAAAAAAAAAAAUUAAAAAAAUCCAACUUAAAGUGAGGUAGGAUCGCCUAAGUAGAAAUUGCCAAUGAGAAGAUCAUGUGGAUCUAAACUAGUAAUCGGUUGAAAGCAACACACAACUCCACUAUUGGCGUUUAAAAAGGCUCCCUGCGCCCAGGAGUCGAGUUAAAAUUUAUCUAAACUACUCAGGAGUGUCUCACGAGGCUCAACUCUCUGGUUUCACGGUAAUUUAACUACAUUUUGCCACUUUUUGUCGAUUGUUGCGUGAUUCCUUGUUUUCUGCCGUAAAAUAGUCGACCCCGGCGGCAGCCGAAGUGUGGACCUUUGACCCUCUUAAACAAACAAAUAAUUUUGACGCCAAGAAGAAUCGCGCCAAAGUGUGGACUUUUGUAAAACAAAGAAUAUGUGACGUCAAGAAGAAUCCUGCGGAAGUCGGCGAAAUUUACAGUAAAGAAAGAUUGAAAUUAAUUUACUCUACCUAUUGUUAUUGCCUCCCGGUAGCCAGGUGGUUGGAUAGGGUAGGAUUCAACAUGUCUAAAGGCUAAGAGAGUUUUGUAUUGACUUGCAGCAAGUAAAUGGAAGGCCGGAAUGAAAUUGAGCUAUGUUGCUAAAAAGAAACAUGACUGAAAAACAUUCUCUGUGACGCCUGGGAUUGCAGAAGAAAGCAGUUUGGCAAAAUAAACAGACUUUUAUGAGUUAACAAAAUUAUAGCAUUAACUUUAUAAUGACAACGUUUUCAGAUUCAAAGCUUCUGGCAAUAAACACUUUUUAAACGAUUUCUUAAAAUGCCACAAGGCCACAGACGAGAACACUAGUCGUGACUAGCUUUGGGAGAAUGACUUCGACAAGACUUGAUGAUGAUUGGUUGAAAAGCUCUAAUCUUAUAUCGAGAUAAUUCCUGGGAACGAUGUUAAUUAUAAAAAAUUAGGAAAAAGGCAUGGUUUUAAUUAAUGGUUGAAAUGACGAAAGUCUUUCACAUUUCACUAAAGAAGUUAUGCUGACAGGCAUGGAAAAUGUUUGUGGUUCUACCAACAUAAAGAAAUGACUUAGCAUAUAUACAUAUACAGCGCUAUCCUGAUUGACACAAAAUGUGUAAAUGUAGUUAACGAUAUCUGUUUUUAAAUGAUUUGUUUUGGUAAAAAUUUCAAGUAGUUAGUGUUUACCGCAUAACAGCUAGGUAUUUCCAAGUGUGAUUCAACAUUUUAGAGUCUUAGCCAAUAAAAGCUACAUAUUUUUGACUGAAUGCUUUGCUAAAUCAGUGGCCAUUCAAUUGUUGUGGUAGGUUGUGUUGUUUUUAAUUAGCUAUUGCUGCGUAAAAAACAAAUUUUAUAUAGCGGCCUUUACUUGUGCAAAAUCAUGAUAUAAUUUUGCUAUUUUUAUUUUAUUUAUCUGUUGUUGUUUAUGGUGUACUAUGAUCUAAUAAUACAAAUAAAGCCUAUUUACAAUGCAGUUUGUGUUGUUGUUGUUGCUUAUUUCUCUAUCUUUCUCCUUUUUGAUGUGAUUAAAUGUUUCAAAUAGAAUAAAUAUCAAAAGUUUUAUUAGUAAUAGAUACCGUUUUGCAUGUCUUUUACAGAAUAUAGUUUCUCCAAAUUUAUAGCCUGAAUAUUGCCCCAAAAACAAUUAUAUUGACCAAUAACUUGUGAAAACAAGCCUGCAAAUAUUUUUCUGGAUGUGGAAAAAAGAAGUUUUUCUGGCUAGCUAAGUAUAGUCUAUUAUAAGAUUAAAAAGGGAAAACAUGAGGCCAAAUUUUCACGCAGAUACAAUUCACUAUAUACAGGUUGGAGCAGGAUCGUAUCAUGAUCGUCUAUCGCGAUGAAUGAACAUAAACAACACUAUACAUAACAUAA